AUUGAACGCUGGCGGCAGGCCUAACACAUGCAAGUCGAACGAGUGGCGGAAGGGUGAGUAAUGUCUGGGAAACUGCCUGAUGGAGGGGGAUAAAUAAUGGAAACGGUAGCUAAUACCGCAUAACAUCAGAUGUGCCCAGAGGGGAUGAGCUAUUUGGUGGGGUAACGGCUCACCAAGGCGACGAUCCCUAGCUGGGCUGAGAGGCUGACCAGCGAAACUGGAACUGAGACACGGUCCAGACUCCUACGAGAGGCAGCAGUGGGGAAGAUUGAACAAUGGGCGCAAGCCUGAUGCAUCCAUGCCUCGUGUAUGAAGAAGUCCUUCGGGUUGUAAAGUACUUUCAGCGGGGAGGCGUUACCCGCAGAAGAAGCACCGGCUAACUCCGUGCCAGCAGCCGCGGUAAUAC
rnacentral:rRNA from 1 species